UGAAAAUCCGAGGCCAAUGGGCUGGGAACAACUCCAACUAUGCAUCAAGAAAGGAACGGGAGACCGAGGACUAAGCCGAUAUGAGUUCUACAAAAAAAAACUUAUAAUAUCCAACUGAUGAAGUAUACGGGAUUGCCAACUUUUUGUUGAAACCUCAAGGCGUUUAUUUUGCUUAUAUUAUUAUUAUUAUUAUUAUUAUUAUUUGUUUUGCGUACCUCGGGAAUAUACAGGCACUGCAGUCAUCAUCUAUGGAAUACAUCAUCGGAAUAUCGAGUUUGCUGGUGCUGUUGUAAGUAUGGAAGUGCCAUGUUGGUGCAUUUUUGAGCUUUUUACACUCUGAGAAAGAGGAAA